rnacentral:piRNA from 1 species
UUCAAUGUCAUCCCUUCUUGCCACCUAUGU